GGACUAGUAGCUCAGCUGAGAAGAGCAACCGCCUGUCCAGCGGUAGGUCGUGGGUUCGAGCCCCAUCUAGUCCGCCA
rnacentral:tRNA from 3 species